GCGUGGUGAUGUUGUUUGCUAUAACUGCAAUGAAGAGGGCCAUAUCAGUUCACAGUGCACACAGCCGAAGAAGGUUAGAACCGAUGGGAAAGUGUUUGCAUUGACUGGUACACAGACUACUAAUGAGGACCGACUUAUCAGAGGUAUUUGUCCAAAUAUGAUGCGAAAAAUGAAGAAAAUUGAGCCUUGCAUGUCCAGAAGCUUGGUACGGCCGUGCCUGUGACCUAGCCAAAAAACCACCCAUUUCCAGAGAGUUGGCACUGCCCGUGCCAGUGGUGGCACGGCCGUGCCAUGGUCCCAGACCCUCUUUUACCAUUUUUUUUCACUUUUCUUCUUCUUCCUUCAUUCUCAAACACAAACUUCCCUCAUCCUUCAACUUCUCUCUCUAAACCUCCAUAACAUCAACCUUUAAACCUCCAUAUCUAUCUCCAUUCAUCAUUCCAAACAUUUACCACCAAUCAAAAUCAACAUUCAUCCAUCCAAACACCAAAUUGUACACCAUUAAACCCUAACCCAAAAACCAAAAAAAUUCUUCACCAAUCUCCAUCAUUAAACUCAUCAACCUCACUUAAACCCCAACCCAUCACUAAACCAACCUUACCAAACCCUAACCUUCCUUAAAA